GCUGUAGCUCAGUGGUAGAGCACUUGCCUAGCAUGUGUGAGGCCCUGGGUUUGAUUCUCAGCAUUGCA
rnacentral:tRNA from 1 species